AUGUUUAGUACAUACAUACAUUAUUAAGCACUACACAGUUUCAUUAAAAUCAGAAUUUUCAAAUUGAACAAAUUUGUUAGUAACAUUGCGACACAAUAUUCGAGAAUUAUUCAAGUGUAUAAAAAGAUUUCAAAACUAUUGUAAAACGUUGCAACAAACAAGAUCAAUCAACUAUAUUCCCACUUAAACUACAAUACGGUAGCAUUACAUAGAAAAUAGAUGAUAGUACAAAUCAUUUAUCGAUAACAAUAUUUUGGUAAUACAAUAUCGAUGUAAGAAGCUUUAAGAAUAUAAUAGGCCUCACCGAAGCGUAAUGUCUGAUAUGCAUACAUACAGAAUAUCAGGCAAUUGGCAAGAUCUAAAGUCAACAUAAUACAUACAAAAUUAUCAAUAGCGAGUUCUUUACUGAAAAAAAUGCCACGCAUAAAUCGUUAUAGUAUGCGACAUUUUCAUAAAAGUGUGUAAUGUAAAUUGCAGAGUUCUUUGUACAUAAAAAACUAAUAAGAAACAAAUUGUAAAUUAGCAAUACUUUUUUACAAAAUGGUUACUAAAUAAUUAAUCUUUUUUAUUAGUUUA